UCCCUGGUAGUCCAGUGGUUAGGACUCAGCACUUCCACUGCUGAAGUCCAGAGUUCAACCUUUGGUCAGGGAA
rnacentral:tRNA from 1 species